CGGGCCAUGGGGCGCCCGGGUGGGCGGGCGGCCGGAGCAGGAGCCCGGCGGGACUCGGAUAUGGUGUUUCCCUUAGGUGAGGGGUCUGAAGAAGGGUCAUUCAUUCAUUCAUACAAAAUUUACUGAAUGCCAACUACUAAUCAGACAUGGAGGCCCUGAAAAUACAGCUGCUGUUAUUUACCUGAGUUGUGGGAAAGAGAAAAUAGCGCCAGGCGAUCUGAAAAAUAAAUAUACCUGCAAGUUCCUUGCUUUACCCCUGGGGACCCUGUGGGAUCCAGCCCAUCCACUUCUCCCGCCCUCCCACACUGUCUGGCUUUCACUCCUGGAGACCUUUCCAGUCUCGGUCUCGGGCUGCACAGAGCAGUGAUGCAAUGUCCACAGACAGGGUAGAGACCCUGUGAGUCCAGGAAGCAGAGAAUCCCAGAU
rnacentral:lncRNA from 1 species